UUUCACUCAUAAUUGUUUUCAGCUUUGCGUAACUGGACGUCUUGAAAGCACUGAGUGUAUAGAAUUGCUGGUUAGGAUUUCAUUUGGGUUGCUUGCAAUUAAUGUAAACCAGCCUCUCUGAUUCCUUCCUUUGUAGCUGUCAGGACAAGUCUAAUACCGGUGUUACCUCGAGUUGGCUGCUGCUUUUUUAUGUCUGGAUUUCCAUAGGUGUCAGUACGUGCCCACUCCUUAAGAAGCACUGAGGGAGGAGUGGAUGAUCUCCAAAUUCGUGUUUCCCCUUGCCUUACUGGGGUGAAAGAGCUGUGAGUUUGUGACUUCCUGCUUUUUGAGAGAGAGCUCCAGCUGUGCAGAGCCUUUUGCUGCAGGACCUGCCAUGAGGAUCACCUCGGUUGAGGAGCCUCAGCCUCCCUGGACACAUACCUUCUCCUCUGGACUAAGAAAAGGAGUUGCGGUUGUUCCCCAUGCUCCUGUGGCCUCAUCAGAUCAAGGAGCUGCGUAUUGCAAACAAGACGUUUUGAAUCCCUCAAGGAGCAUCCAGGAUGGAAUGAGAUUAGGUCUGGUCUUCAUACCCUACUUCCUCCAAGCAGACUCUGAGAAAAGGUCAAGGAUAAAGAAGAAUAAGGCAAGUUUCUGCUACAAUCAACCAAAAAUGAGUUGGCUUACUGGGUCAAGUCCAAUCUUUAAGUAA
rnacentral:lncRNA from 1 species